AAACCAAGAUAUGGACAACUCCUCGGCAAAUCCUUGAAAUGUUCCCAACAAUCAUACAAAGUUUCAUUCUCAUACUAAAGAAACCCUGCUAUGUCAUUCCUCAACUU
rfam:Ricinus communis cultivar Hale ctg_1100012355600, whole genome shotgun sequence.